ACAAACGAAGACUAGAAAUAAAUGAAUAAACUAGAGGUUGAUUAAUGACAUAUUCAUCACAUAGCUUAUUUGAAUAUAAUUAGGUUUCUACAAACCUAUCCGGACACAAAAGGAUCUUAUUCGAACAAUGUCUGAAAAUUUAUAAUACAUGGAUGAAGUUUAAUUUUUAAACCCAAAAUAUCCGAAAACCGGUCUAUAUCCGAACGGCGAACGGGUACCUGAAUACUUAUGUCUUAUACAAUCUGUAAAAACUAAAAAAAAAUUGUUAACUAGUUUGGAAUCUUGUCACGAAUUGAACAAUUUCACUAAAACCUGUGAAAUUAUAUGGUUGACAUGUAAAAUAAAUGUUUUUGAAUUAUUAUCAUAAAGACAAUUAAUGAAAUAAUUAAGAAAAGUAAAAAGAUGAAUGUAAAAGAUGCAAUAAAACACUUAAAAAUAGAUAAAUUCUAUUUUGCAUUUCUAUAAUAAAUGAUGUCAGAUUAUUUAGAAAAAAAACAAUAAAUGAAGUGAUUGACGUUACUUAAAAAUGAAUCAAAAUCUAUAAAAAAAUCACUUAAAAAUAUGCAAGUAUUAAUUUGUACUUCAGUUUUAAUAGACUAGUUUUAAUAGAAUAGAGAUAAUUUCAUAUAUAAUCUUUUCUCCAUCAUAUAUAUAAACCCACACAAAUCAAACCAAGCAAACAACAAACAUCAAUCUUACAUCCUUACUACUCUUGAGUUUUAAACUUGUUUGAAGAAAAAAGUUAUAUCAGAAAUGGCUCAAAAAAUGUGUAUGGUGAUGAUGAUGAUGAUGAUGAUGGUGAUGGUAUUGGUAACAGUGGAAUGUGCUACUAUUAAUGAAGCAAUAGAAGACUACGGAUCAUGCGUCAACAGGUGCUUUGACAAUUGCGGCACAGAUGAGCAUUGCCAUUAUCAUUGCAGAUGGAUUUGCCCCAAACCUCACACACCACAGUUUAUCCUAAAGGAUGAAGCAAUACUGCCGCAAGAAGGUGGGACUACUAUCUGUUUCAGAAAUUGUACCCUGAAAUGUGGCGCUGACAUGCAUUGCAUGCACAAUUGUUUGAAGAAUUGCCCCCACUAGGACAACUCUUUUUAUUUAUCAUACAAAAUACUUAAUUUUUAUGAUGAUUCAUGUGGUUUUUAUAAGGCAAUUUGAGUUCAUAUCAAUGUAAUAGGAGUUUAUCGUUCCAGAAAUAAAUUAUCGAAUACUAGUAAAAGUUUUUGUUCUA